rnacentral:ncRNA from 1 species
CCCACUGAUGUUAAGCAUAUAAUCAAGCGGAGGAAAAGAAAUUAACAAGGACUCCCUCAGUAACGAUGAGAGAAGCGGGAAGACCUCAAGCUUAAGAUCUCCACGCAAGUGGCGAAAUGUAGACUAUUGAGGCUGUUUCAGCAUAGCAACCUGGGACAAGUCCCUUGGAAGAGGGCAGCAUAGUGGGUGAUACUCCCGUCUCUGUUCAGGUCGUAUUGUGUAUGAUACGCCUUCAUUGAGUCGAGUAGUUUGGAAAUACAGUUCAAUGUAGGUAGUAACUGUCAUCUAAAACUCAAUUUUUGUACAAGACUGAUUGCAAAGAAGUACCGUGACGGAAAAGAACUCUGAAAAGAACUAUGAAGAGGGAGUAAAUGACUAUUGUUGAUAUGGUA